UACGUAGGGUGCAAGCGUUGUCCGGAAUUAUUGGGCGUAAAGAGCUUGUAGGCGGUUUGUCGCGUCUGCUGUGAAAUUUCGGGGCUCAACCCCGAACUUGCAGUGGGUACGGGCAGACUAGAGUGUGGUAGGGGAGACUGGAAUUCCUGGUGUAGCGGUGAAAUGCGCAGAUAUCAGGAGGAACACCGAUGGCGAAGGCAGGUCUCUGGGCCAUAACUGACGCUGAGAAGCAGAACGAGCAUGGGGAGCGAACAGG
rnacentral:rRNA from 1 species